AGAGUGGACAGGAUCUUAGAGGUCGGCGAGCUUGGUCUUCCCUCAAUGUCACUGGUACAUCAACACAAUGAUUGGCUUAUUGAGCCCCUACUUAGUGCCAGAGGUCAUGGUGGGUGCUGGAGGGGAUAUGACUAAGACACUGAACAAGGCCCUGCCGCUGACCUCACAGUGGGGAGACAGGCCGGUCAUCAGUCCCAGGAAGGAUUUCCUGACUUUCCCCUGAAGUAGGACAUUGGACCCUGGUGUGAGUGAUGCCCGCAUACUCAGAGGAAAGGAACAUCCUUUUUCUGAAGACACAAGGACACAGAGGAGAAUCUGAGCCAACAGAUGUGGUGACAUUCCCUCCAGGGGCCUCAGCCAUGAAUCUAGCAGUGGGUGAAGACAUCUUGCCAGCCCUACAAUUCCAAAAGCAACAAAGGACUCUUGAGGGUUGUGAGCAACACAGUCAUUGGGGAACACCAGAUGGCUACUGAGGUUUCUCCAGUGGUCCACAGGUGCCAGCUUCUUUCACUGUAAGGGGAAGAGAACUCUGUGUGAAAGAGACGCAGAGGGAGAAGGCGGCCCUGUGAAGAUGGAGGCACAGGUGUGAGAGAUGCUGCCACAAGCCCAGGAAUGCCCGGGGCUGCUGGAAGCUGAAAGAGGCAAGGAAGGAUCCUCCCCUUGAAGGUUCAGAAAGAGCGUGGCCCUGCCAGCACCUUGAUUUCAGACUGCUGGCCUCCAGAACUGUAAGAAAAUCUAUUUCUGUCAUCUGAAGCCACCCAGUUUAUGGUACUUUGUAACAGCAGCUCUGGGAAGCUGACACAGUGGCCCCACUACUAGUUAGAGUCCAUAGGACUGGAAGUUCUAUUAGUUUGUAAAAUAAACAUUCCUAAAGCCCACCUUUAA
rnacentral:lncRNA from 1 species